UACGGGGGAUGCAAGCGUUAUCCGGAUUUAUUGGGUUUAAAGGGUGCGUAGGCUGUGAGGCAAGUCAGCGGUGAAAUGCCCCCGCUCAACGGGGUGAAGUGCCAUUGAUACUGCCUUGCUGGAAUGCGGAUGCCGUGGGAGGAAUGUGUGGUGUAGCGGUGAAAUGCAUAGAUAUCACACAGAACACCGAUUGCGAAGGCAUCUCACGAAUCCGCUAUUGACGCUGAUGCACGAAAGCGUGGGUAUCAAACAGG
rnacentral:rRNA from 1 species